AUAAUGGUCUUAAUGGCCAAUAUAUUCUAGCGGCGGACGGGUGAGUAACGCGUGGGUAACCUGCCCUAUACACUGGGAUAACAUCGAGAAAUCGGUGCUAAUACCGGAUAAGCUAACAAUAAGGCAUCUUAAAGUUAGAAAAACUGAGGUGGUAUAGGAGGGGCCUGCGUCUGAUUAGCUAGUUGGUGAGGUAAUAGCUCACCAAGGCAACGAUCAGUAGCCGACCUGAGAGGGUGAUCGGCCACAUUGGAACUGAGAUACGGUCCAAACUCCUACGGGAGGCAGCAGUGGGGAAUAUUGCACAAUGGGGGGAACCCUGAUGCAGCAACGCCGCGUGAAGGAAGAAGUAUUUCGGUAUGUAAACUUCUAUCGACAGGGAAGAAAAAAAUGACGGUACCUGAAUAAGAAGCACCGGCUAAAUACGUGCCAGCAGCCGCGGUAAUACGUAUGGUGCAAGCGUUAUCCGGAUUUACUGGGUGUAAAGGGUGAGUAGGCGGUUAGGUAAGUCAUAUGUGAAAUUCUGGGGCUCAACCCCAGAGCUGCAUAAGAAACUAUUUAACUAGAGUACUAGGAGAGGUAAGCGGAAUUCCUAGUGUAGCGGUGAAAUGCGUAGAUAUUAGGAAGAACACCGGUGGCGAAGGCGGCUUACUGGACUGAAACUGACGCUGAGUCACGAAAGCGUGGGGAGCGAACAGGAUUAGAUACCCUGGUAGUCCACGCUGUAAACGAUGAGUGCUAGGUGUUGGGGAGAGAUUCUCGGUGCCGUAGCA
rnacentral:rRNA from 1 species